rnacentral:lncRNA from 1 species
AUGAGGGUAUUUUUCCAUUUUUUUUGGAGAAAAAUAUGAAAUUUUAAAAUUUUAAGGGCUAUUCAUUAAUAAAAUUAGAGUUAAACCGGUAAGAAAAGAAUUAACUUUUAUCCCUUGGAUGAAAGGGAUGUAAAAUUUAUAGCUCCCUUGAGUGUGUAGAUUGCAUUGCUCCACGCCAUAUAAUGGAUUGGUGAAGAAUUAAAAUUUACUCCUAUGAGCUUUGAAGUUAGAAAGUUUUUCUUUUUCUAUUUGUUUUAAUAUUUAUACAGCUUUCAAAUGAAAGAAAAAAUAAAAGAAAAGAAAGUUAGGAGAAUUAAUUUUCUCUCUUUUGGAUUAAACCUCGAGAUAAAAACAACAAAAAAAAAUGAAGAAUAAACCAUUCUCCAUAAUAUUUAAUUUUUUCUACAAUAGCAAGUGGCAAAGGGCUUGGUCGUUAGUACCCGAGACCCAAGUUCGAAUUCUAGUUGAUUCACAUUUCUAGCUAAGUUUAUUUCUAAAUGAAAUAAACGAAGCGCAUAGCAUGCUACCUAUCUCUCAAAAAAAAAAAAAAUUUCUACAAUAGCGGAGGGAAGAGGUAAGGAAGAUUAUUUUCUUAUCUUUCCGAUUGUAGUAGAUGAGGGGAGUAUAAAUUAUGGUAGAGAUAUUAUGGUAAGAUAAAAAAAAUAAUUAAUAGAGAUCUAUGGUAGGUUGAAGA